rnacentral:rRNA from 1 species
CCUACGGGUGGCAGCAGUGAGGAAUAUUGGUCAAUGGACGAGAGUCUGAACCAGCCAAGUAGCGUGAAGGAUGACUGCUCUAUGGGUUGUAAACUUCUUUUAUAAAGGAAUAAAACGAGGCACGUGUGCCUUUUUGCAUGUACUUUAUGAUUAAGGAUAGGCUAACUCCGUGCCAGCAGCCGCGGUAAUACGGAGGAUCCGAGCGUUAUCCGGAUUUAUUGGGUUUAAAGGGAGCGUAGAUGGGUUGUUAAGUCAGUUGUGAAAGUUUGCGGCGCAACCGUAAAAUUGCAAUUGAUACUGGCAGUCUGGAGUACAGUUGAGGUAGGCGGAAUUCGUGGUGUAGCGGUGAAAUGCUUAGAUAUCACGAAGAACCCCGAUUGCGAAGGCAGCCUACUAAACUGUGACUGACAUUGAUGCUCGAAAGUGUGGGUAUCAAACAGGAUUAGAUACCCUUGUAGUC